rnacentral:rRNA from 1 species
CAUAAGCGGAGGAAAAGAAACCAACCGGGAUUGCCUUAGUAACGGCGAGUGAAGCGGCAAAAGCUCAAAUUUGAAAUCUGGUACCUUUGGUGCCCGAGUUGUAAUUUGGAGAGGGCAACUUUGGGACCGUUCCUUGUCUAUGUUCCUUGGAACAGGACGUCAUAGAGGGUGAGAAUCCCGUGUGGCGAGGAGUGCGGUUCUAUGUAAAGUGCCUUCGAAGAGUCGAGUUGUUUGGGAAUGCAGCUCUAAGUGGGUGGUAAAUUCCAUCUAAAGCUAAAUAUUGGCGAGAGACCGAUAGCGAACAAGUACAGUGAUGGAAAGAUGAAAAGAACUUUGAAAAGAGAGUGAAAAAGUACGUGAAAUUGUUGAAAGGGAAGGGCAUUUGAUCAGACAUGGUGUUUUGCGCCCUCUGCUCCUUGUGGGUGGGGGAAUCUCGCAGUUCACUGGGCCAGCAUCAGUUUUGGUGGCAGGAUAAAUCCGUAGGAAUGUAACUUGCUUCGGGAAGUAUUAUAGCCUAUGGGAAUACUGCCAGCUGGGACUGAGGACUGCGACGUAAGUCAAGGAUGCUGGCAUAAUGGUUAUAUGCCGCCCGUCUGAAA